rnacentral:lncRNA from 1 species
GAGAUUGGAGAUAUAAGGUGGAUUUUGGUGAAUGGAGAGAUAAGGUGGUUCUUGGAGUGGAUGAGGAACUAAUUACUAACAUCUAACAUGACUUUGUCCGAUAAAAAAAAAAAAAAAAAAAAAAAUGAGUCCACAACUUAGUGAUUGAAAAAGUGGCCCACUAUUACUAAAAAUAUACUCUCCGUCUCACAAAAACAUGAACAUUUUGCCAUUUUUGGGUGUCUCAUAAAAACAUGAACAUU